CCUCGCCUGAGUCUCCAUAGCUCCCUGGCUGCCACUUAAGACUCAAAUAUAUGUUGGAGAUAGGUUGGUGGAAGCCCAAUGUGGUGCCCAGAGCUGGGGCCUGGUUAUAGGGCAUUUCCAAGUCUCUGGACAAUGUCCCUCCUCUCAGAAGAGGGGAUGGAGUAAUGCCAUCACAUCUCAGAUCUCCUCAAACUUCUUCCCUCACACCCAAGUCUCUUCCCCCCCUAGGAGUCUCCUGGUGCAUGGAACUGACCAGAAACUGGGUAAUGUAUAUAAAUCUGGGUCAUCCCUGGCUUCACGCUGGAUCCAAGGCCUGAAGGGUGCUGGUCAAUGUGGAGCCUGCUCUCAUGACUUACAAAAUGGAGUGGAUUUCAGGGUGUGGGGUGGUGGUGUGUUGGGUGAGGGUCUUGGCUGACUGUGACAGUGCACCUGACAGGGAGUGGAGGAAGAAUAUCAUGCUGGCAAUUGCCCCAGGCCAGGGCACACAGAGACAUUUGCUGCGGGACACAGAGGAAGGUCUGAGAGUUGCUUUUAUAGGACAUGUCGUCCAGAGGGUGACAGAGCACCAGCAGAGCCUGCUGCAUCUCUCUGCAUCUCCAGGCUCAGAAGGGGAUUGGAAAGGGACCCAUGGAAUCCCAAGGAGGUGCCCAGAGCCUGGGGUUUGUUUUCAUGGUGCUCUGAUACUGCAGCCCAAUGGGACUCCAUUCAGUGAGAGGAUGGAAUUUUGCCCUCAGAGUUCCCCCAAAGCCUCUGUCUUCCUUCUGUAGCUGAGCUGCUUCAGCCUCUGUGGGACACCCAUUUGAAGGAACCUGUCUAAAUCCAUGUAAGGUGAGUCAUGGCUGGGUUGUUUAGGAGUCCAAGCUGAGUGCCAGGAAGGAAGGCUGCUGAUGAAAGGCUUACUGUCCUAACUUAAAUAGGAGGGUU
rnacentral:lncRNA from 9 species